rnacentral:rRNA from 1 species
CAUGCAAGUCGAGCGAACAGACGAGGUGCUUGCACCUCUGACGUUAGCGGCGGACGGGUGAGUAACACGUGGGUAACCUACCUAUAAGACUGGAAUAACUUCGGGAAACCGGAGCUAAUGCCGGAUAAUAUAUUGAACCGCAUGGUUCAAUAGUGAAAGACGGUUUUGCUGUCACUUAUAGAUGGACCCGCGCCGUAUUAGCUAGUUGGUAAGGUAACGGCUUACCAAGGCGACGAUACGUAGCCGACCUGAGAGGGUGAUCGGCCACACUGGAACUGAGACACGGUCCAGACUCCUACGGGAGGCAGCAGUAGGGAAUCUUCCGCAAUGGGCGAAAGCCUGACGGAGCAACGCCGCGUGAGUGAUGAAGGUCUUCGGAUCGUAAAGCUCUGUUAUUAGGGAAGAACAAACGUGUAAGUAACUGUGCACGUCUUGACGGUACCUAAUCAGAAAGCCACGGCUAA